GCUGGGCGUGGUGGCUCACGCCUGUAAUCCCAGCGGCUGGGGAGGCUGAGACAGGAUGAUCGCGGGUUCAGACCCUGUCUCUA
rnacentral:sRNA from 1 species